rnacentral:rRNA from 1 species
UACGUAGGGUGCGAGCGUUAAUCGGAAUUACUGGGCGUAAAGCGUGCGCAGGCGGUUUUGUAAGCCAGAUGUGAAAUCCCCGGGCUUAACCUGGGAAUGGCAUUUGGGACUGCAAGGCUUGAGUGCGGCAGAGGAGACUGGAAUUCCUGGUGUAGCAGUGAAAUGCGUAGAUAUCAGGAGGAAUACCGAUGGCGAAGGCAGGUCUCUGGGCUGACACUGACGCUCAUGCACGAAAGUGUGGGGAGCAAACAGG